GACGGAGGAUGCAAGCGUUAUCCGGAAUGAUUGGGCGUAAAGCGUCCGCAGGUGGCAGUUCAAGUCUGCUGUCAAAGACCGGGGCUUAACUUCGGAAAGGCAGUGGAAACUGAACAGCUAGAGUAUGGUAGGGGCAGAGGGAAUUCCUGGUGUAGCGGUGGAAUGCGCAGAUAUCAGGAGGAACACCUAUAGCGAAGGCAGCUUGCUGGGACGUUACUGACGCUAAGGCGCGAAAGCGUGGGGAGCGAACAGG
rnacentral:rRNA from 1 species